CUUCCUUCUCUUUAAUGUUGUUAAAGAGUCUUUUGGUUCACCAUAUACUAGGCUUUGAAAGUCAUGGGUUUUAUGAAUUGUUUUUUAAUGCAUGCCUACUUUAAUAUGUUAAUAGUUUGCCUAUGUGUUCAAAUAUUCUCACAUGUUCUUAGCUAGGACAAAUUUUUUCCUUCAUCUAGAAACCCUAAAAUCUGCACAAACCCUAGUUCUUUUCCUCCUUGGAUUGAGGCCCAAGCCUUUGCCGAAAAUCCUAAGCCUUUUCCCACCAGAAUUUGUCAAAACAUUAGGCUAUAAAUAUGUGUUUUCAGCCACAAUUUCGUCCACCACCCCCCUACCAUUUAGAAACACAACCUGCCGCACCAUAUUCACCAUUCUACAACUCUUUGCUGCACUUUUGGAGAAGAAGGACCCUUGCCGUGCAUUCCAUUGAUGAAGGAGGACCAUGUGCAUGAGCCACCUGCAUCCUUGGGAGUUCUAAGAGUUCUUUCUUGAUGCGAAAUAUAUAAGCACACAAAUUAAACCCUCUUUUUAUCAAUUGUAGUAAAGUAUGUAAGUAGGGAUCGUUCUAGGCCGGGGAUUAGGAAGGAUUGCCAAAUCACUUGAAAACUGACUCAAAACAUAAAAACAAAGUUUAAAACACUAAACUAGACUCAAAGAAUGCAAAACUAAACUAUAAAACACCAAAACAAAGCAAAAGACUCAAAACAGCAAAUAAACACUCAAAACUGCCUUAAAAACACUUUCUGGGCAGUUUUGACCACAAACACAAAUUUGGACGAAAAUAGGUUUAAACUUGACUCACAACACUUAAAAACACAAACUAAAUUGAUUUCUAACUAAUCUAACACUUCAAAAUAAAUGGGGAUUUGGUUUUGACGAAAAUUGAAAACAAAAACAAAACUUGUAAAUUGAACAGAUUCUAAAACGAAUUUGAUAAAAGUGAAUGGAUGGAAAGCUAGCUAAGGGGUUCUUCUCCACACAUGUCACACUUGCAUACAAAACGAUUUCCAAUUGCUUCUCAAUAAACCAUGAGUUCCCAACACCCCAAGUUAAUUAGAUACGCUUAAAUUAACUUUCAGAUUCCCCUUAAGUCAAUGAAUUGGAUGGAAAAAGCGCAUCACAACCAAAUUAUUCCUCAAAAGUUCCCUACAUGAAAGCGCAUAAUAGAGAUACAAUUAAAAUCAUUACGUUCAAUGGAAAUCAUAAGUAUUGACGAGGCAUUCGUAACUAUGAAAGCGCAUGAUACUUAUGCCAAGAAUUUACUUAACACGAUUGUGAUCAACAACCUUUACUACUUGUGAAUAUAAGUUCAUAACGAUUAGGUGAAAAUCCCUUACAUCCUAGCAUUAGAUUUAUGCAUAAAAAUUAAGCGUGCACUCUCAACCAACACACACAAAUCAGUUUAAUUCGAAUAGAUAAGCAAAUUGAAUCCACAACUUAUGAAACGCAAUUAGAAGUAAUCAAAUCAUAUAGCAAGCAUAAACAUGGUUUCGAAUCCCCCCCUAGCCAAGGGGGGUUUAGUUCCUCAUACUCGCAAAGCAAAGAUACAUAAAUUAGACAUUAAAAUCCAAAGAAAGAAAACACCUAGAUGAUCCAACUUGGACAGCAGGUGCAUCCACGAGUCUUCCUUCCUCCUUGCUGCGGCACUUGGUCUAAAGUCAGGUUCUAGGGGUUAUUUGUAUGGAUGAAUGGGUAGGGACUGGUAUGGAAGGGUUUAGGAUUGAUGGGGGGUGCGGCAAGGGGUUGUUUUUGGCAGAAAUUUGGGAGAAUGGUGGUGGAAGGCUGCGGCAAAGGUAGGGGAUGAAUUUCUGGCGUGAAUUGUUGUGUAUGAGAGGUGGUAAUUCGGCUAGGGCUGAGAUAUGAGUAUAUAUACGCACCUAAAACCCUAGGGUAAUCAGAUAUGGACUUGGAUAACCCAAAUCCACAAGGAAAAAGGCUUAGGAAAUCAGAAUCCACAAGGAAAUAGGCUAAAGGGUGCGGCAGGUUUGGAUAAGGCAGGAUAAGGCUUCUAGAUAGCCUUGCAAGGCAAGGAAAUAGGUUCUAGAAAGGGAUAGGUGCGGCAUGGAUUGAGGGAAUAAGGAUAGGGCUUCUAGAAACCCAAAACCAAGAGGAAAUAGGCCCUAACCCACGACAAGGAUAAGGAAAUGCUCUCCAACCUUUCUUUGUGUCUUCAAACGCUUAGGAACCUUCUAAUUUUGCUGAAACUUAAGGCCAUUUAGGUUUAGGAAAGAUCAACCCAAAAUAGCAACUUCUAGGCUUAACUUUCCUACUUCAAGUAGGAAACCUUGUUUGAUUAGGAAUCUUCAUUCUUCUAGGAAUCCAUCUUCAACUAGGAAUCCCUCGUUGAUUAGGAAUCCUUCUUCAAUUAGGACUCCUUCGUUGAUUAGGAAUCCUUCUUGGACUAGGAAUCCUCAAAUCUUCAAAUCUUAAAUUUCGUCCAAACCUUUUGUUCCAAGCAUGUGCUACUCACUUCAAGCUCACUUUUGCUCCAAAAAGCUCCAAUUUGCAUCAUUUUGUAUAAUAUGCCCUUAAAACCUGAAAGCACAUGAAAAUAGCUUAAAAGACUACUUUAACUAAGAAAACAUCACGAAAAUGCAUAAGAACUAGCUAACUAAGGCGCAUAAAUAUGCUCCUAUCAUUUCUUCCCUUGUUUUAGUUUUAAUGUUUAUUUCAGUUUGCUUUUCAAUUGCUAUGAACAUGUGUAACUAAGUUUUUCUUAGUUAGAGGUGAAUUCAAAGCCAUGGACAUAUGUUUAAUAUGAACUGAAUCCUUCCAGUUAUUGUUUUGUAAAACAUGAAUGUGAUUUACUUAUCUAUUUGACUGAUAACUUAUUCUUGUGUAUUGAUUAAGGAUGCAUACUUAGUUUACAUGCAUGAAUCUGGUGCUAAAUUAUAAGGGACUUUCACCUAAUCGUGAGGAACUUAUAAUUUCAACUAGUGGAGAUGGUUAGUCACAAUCAUGUUAAGUAGAUUCUUGGCAAGAGUAUCAUGCAGUUCAUAGUUAUAAUUGCCUUGUCAAUGCUUAUGAUUUCCAUGGAACUUAAUGAUCUUUGAAUGUAUCUCUAUCAUGUUGUUCAUAUAAGGAACUUGAGAAGAAUAAUUUGGUUGUGAUGCGUUGUCCAUUCAAUUCAAUGAAUUUAGGGAAAUCUGAGAGUUAAUUUGUGCAUUCACGAUUAAUUUGGGGCAUUGUCGUUCAUGGUUUAAAGAAACAAUACUGGAAAUCGAUUUAUGUUGCAUAUGUUUAUGUGUGGAGAAGGAUCCUCUAACUAGCCUUUCACCCUUGAAUUCAUCUAAAUUUCGUUUUAAGUUACUUUGCUUUGCAAUUUGUUUAGUUUUACUUCAAUUUUGUCAAAAACAAUCCCCUCUUUCUAUUUAGUGUUUUUAGGUCAGAAUCUGUCCAAUUUAGGUUCUUUAGAGUGUUUUGAGUCCAUAUAGGUUAGAAUUAGUCCAUAAACAUUAUUUGAGUCUCAAUUUAUUCUUAAAUUCGUCCAAUUUACUCCCUAGAGUCUGUUUUGAAUCUAAUUGUUAGUAUUGUGCUGUUUUGAGUCUUUUAAGUGUGUUUUGAAUUAGUUAAGUCACAAUCUGUUUUCUUUUAUUCUUUUGAGUCAAAUCAAGUUCUAAUUUCGUCCACAUCACUUGCUAGGUCUAGAAUUGAGUCAGUUUCAUCUAGUUUUGAUGAUUUGAGUGUUUUAGAUUAGUUUAGAGUCUACAGAGUCUAGUCUUGUGUUUUUAAGUCUAGUUUAGUGUUUUAGAGUUUAAUUUAGGUAUAUUUGCAGGCCUAGUUAAUCGCCGGUUUAGAACAAUCCCUACUUGCUUAAUACUACAAUUACAUAUUCAAUAGGGUUUAAUUUGCAUGUUGGAUUAUUUCACAUCAAAUUUUGGCGCCGUUGCCGGGGAUUAGCAAACUUGCUAAUCCCUUGUUUAUUUUCAUGUCUUUUGUAUUUUCUUUUAAGUUUAUCCGUGAGUUUGUGUGUGUGUUUGUACAUCUUUGCCGUACCUUUGACCUAGUUACUGAUUGUGUUUGUUUCUUCAUUUCAGGUACUAGUUUAUGACUCGUAGUUCUCAACAUAUUAGUGCAAACAUCUUG
rnacentral:lncRNA from 1 species